CCAAAGGCUCUUUUCAGAGCCGUCCACGUUUCAAGAAAGAGCCAGU
rfam:Pongo abelii chromosome 6.